GGUUAAGUUACUAAGGGCACACGGUGGAUGCCUUGGCGCUAGGAGCCGAAGAAGGACGCAGCGAACUGCGAUAAGCCUCGGGGAGCGGUAAGCACGCUUUGAUCCGGGGAUCUCCGAAUGGGGCAACCCACCAUCCGUAAUGGGAUGGUAUCCGUAUCUGAAUACAUAGGGUACGAGAAGGCAGACCCGGUGAACUGAAACAUCUAAGUAGCCGGAGGAAGAGAAAACAAUAGUGAUUCCGUCAGUAGUGGCGAGCGAACGCGGAAGAGCCUAAACCGUCGGGUUUACCCGGCGGGGUUGUGGGACGUCUCACUAGGAGUUACAAAAGACUCUUGUAGAUGAACAGCUUGGGAAAGCUGACCAGAGAGCGUGACAGUCGCGUAAUCUAAACAAGAGUCUCUCCGAGACGGAUCCCGAGUAGCGCGGGACACGUGAAAUCCCGUGUGAAUCUGGCAGGACCAUCUGCUAAGGCUAAAUACUACCUAGCGACCGAUAGUGAACCAGUACCGUGAGGGAAAGGUGAAAAGCACCCCGGGAGGGGAGUGAAAUAGUACCUGAAACCGUGUGCUUACAAAUAGUCGGAGCCCGUUAAAAGGGUGACGGCGUGCCUUUUGUAGAAUGAACCGGCGAGUUACGGUAGCGUGCGAGGUUAAGUUGAAGAGACGGAGCCGCAGCGAAAGCGAGUCUGAAUAGGGCGAUAGUACGCUGCCGUAGACCCGAAACCGUGUGAUCUAGCCAUGUCCAGGGUGAAGUUAGGGUAACACCUACUGGAGGCCCGAACCCACGCACGUUGAAAAGUGCGGGGAUGAGGUGUGGCUAGCGGUGAAAUUCCAAUCGAACUCGGAGAUAGCUGGUUCUCCCCGAAAUAGCUUUAGGGCUAGCCUCGGAAUUUAGAGUCUUGGAGGUAGAGCACUGAUUGGGCUAGGGGCCCUCAUCGGGUUACCGAACUCAGUCAAACUCCGAAUGCCAAUGACUUAUGUCCGGGAGUCAGACGGUGAGUGCUAAGAUCCAUCGUCAAAAGGGAAACAGCCCAGACCAUCAGCUAAGGUCCCCAAGUAUACGUUAAGUGGGAAACGAUGUGGAGUUGCCCAGACAACCAGGAUGUUGGCUUAGAAGCAGCCACCAUUUAAAGAGUGCGUAAUAGCUCACUGGUCGAGUGACUCUGCGCGGAAAAUGUAACGGGGCUAAACGUAUCACCGAAGCUAUGGCAGUCCUUACGGACUGGGUAGGGGAGCGUUCCAAGCAGCAGUGAAGCCGUACUGGAAAGAGCGGUGGAGCGCUUGGAAGUGAGAAUGCCGGUGUAAGUAGCGAAAAGACAAGUGAGAAUCUUGUCCACCGAAAGCCUAAGGGUUCCUGGGGAAGGCUCGUCCUCCCAGGGUUAGUCGGGACCUAAGCUGAGGCCGAAAGGCGUAGGCGAUGGACAACAGGUUGAUAUUCCUGUACCACCUCUGUUCCGCUUGAGCAAUGGCGUGACGCAGGAGGAUAGGGUGAGCGGCCUACUGGAUGGCCGUCCAAGCAGCAAGCCUGGUGUGUAGGCAAAUCCGCACACCGUAAGGGCAAGCUGUGAUGGCGAGGGAAAUUUAAGUACCGAAGUCCCUGAUUUCACACUGCCAAGAAAAGCGUCUAGCGAGGAAUAAGGUGCCCGUACCGCAAACCGACACAGGUAGGCGAGGAGAGAAUCCUAAGGUGCGCGGGAUAACUCUUGCUAAGGAACUCGGCAAAAUGGCCCCGUAACUUCGGGAGAAGGGGCGCCCCGGUAGGGUUUAUAGCCCGAGGGGGCCGCAGUGAAAAGGCCCAAGCGACUGUUUAGCAAAAACACAGGUCUCUGCGAAGCCGCAAGGCGAAGUAUAGGGGCUGACGCCUGCCCGGUGCUGGAAGGUUAAGGGGAUGGGUUAGCGCAAGCGAAGCUUUGAACCGAAGCCCCAGUAAACGGCGGCCGUAACUAUAACGGUCCUAAGGUAGCGAAAUUCCUUGUCGGGUAAGUUCCGACCCGCACGAAAGGCGUAACGACUUGGGCGCUGUCUCGGCAAGAGACCCGGUGAAAUCAUAAUACCUGUGAAGAUGCAGGUUACCCGCGACAAGACGGAAAGACCCCAUGGAGCUUUACUGUAGCCUGGUAUUGGAACUUUGUGCAUCAUGUACAGGAUAGGUGGGAAGCUGAGAAGCAGGGGCGCCAGCCUCUGUGGAGCUGUCGGUGGGAUACCACCCUUGAUGUACGGAGUUUCUAACUCGUCGCCCUUAUCGGGCGAGAGGACCAUGCCAGGUGGGCAGUUUGACUGGGGCGGUCGCCUCCCAAAAGGUAACGGAGGCGCCCAAAGGUUCCCUCAGAAUGGUCGGAAAUCAUUCGUAGAGUGUAAAGGCAGAAGGGAGCUUGACUGCGAGACCUACAAGUCGAGCAGGGACGAAAGUCGGGCUUAGUGAUCCGGUGGUUCCGCAUGGAAGGGCCAUCGCUCAACGGAUAAAAGCUACCCUGGGGAUAACAGGCUUAUCUCCCCCAAGAGUCCACAUCGACGGGGAGGUUUGGCACCUCGAUGUCGGCUCAUCGCAUCCUGGGGCUGAAGUAGGUCCCAAGGGUUGGGCUGUUCGCCCAUUAAAGCGGUACGCGAGCUGGGUUCAGAACGUCGUGAGACAGUUCGGUCCCUAUCUGUCGCGGGCGUAGGAAGUUUGAGGAGAGCUGUCCUUAGUACGAGAGGACCGGGAUGGACGCACCGCUGGUGCACCAGUUGUCACGCCAGUGGCACAGCUGGGUAGCUAUGUGCGGACGGGAUAAGCGCUGAAAGCAUCUAAGCGUGAAGCCCCCUCCAAGAUGAGACUUCCCACAGCGCAAGCUGGUAAGACCCCUCAUAGACGAUGAGGUUGAUAGGUUCGGUGUGGAAGCGUGGUAACACGUGGAGCUGACGAAUACUAAUCGGUCGAGGACUUAUCCAC
rnacentral:rRNA from 1 species